rnacentral:rRNA from 1 species
UCGAGCGGUAGCACAGAGAGCUUGCUCUCGGGUGACGAGCGGCGGACGGGUGAGUAAUGUCUGGGAAACUGCCUGAUGGAGGGGGAUAACUACUGGAAACGGUGGCUAAUACCGCAUAAUGUCGCAAGACCAAAGUGGGGGACCUUCGGGCCUCAUGCCAUCAGAUGUGCCCAGAUGGGAUUAGCUAGUAGGUGGGGUAACGGCUCACCUAGGCGACGAUCCCUAGCUGGUCUGAGAGGAUGACCAGCCACACUGGAACUGAGACACGGUCCAGACUCCUACGGGAGGCAGCAGUGGGGAAUAUUGCACAAUGGGCGCAAGCCUGAUGCAGCCAUGCCGCGUGUAUGAAGAAGGCCUUCGGGUUGUAAAGUACUUUCAGCGGGGAGGAAGGGAGUAAAGUUAAUACCUUUGCUCAUUGACGUUACCCGCAGAAGAAGCACCGGCUAACUCCGUGCCAGCAGCCGCGGUAAUACGGAGGGUGCAAGCGUUAAUCGGAAUUACUGGGCGUAAAGCGCACGCAGGCGGUUUGUUAAGUCAGAUGUGAAAUCCCCGGGCUCAACCUGGGAACUGCAUCUGAUACUGGCAAGCUUGAGUCUCGUAGAGGGGGGUAGAAUUCCAGGUGUAGCGGUGAAAUGCGUAGAGAUCUGGAGGAAUACCGGUGGCGAAGGCGGCCCCCUGGACGAAGACUGACGCUCAGGUG